rnacentral:tRNA from 1 species
UGGGGAAUAGUUUAACGGUAGAACAUCGGACUCUGACUCCGUCGGUCCUGGUUCGAAUCCAGGUUCCCCAGCCA